rnacentral:rRNA from 1 species
CAGUCGCCGCGGGAAUACGUAGGUGGCAAGCGUUGUCCGGAAUUAUUGGGCGUAAAGGGCUCGCAGGCGGUUUCUUAAGUCUGAUGUGAAAGCCCCCGGCUCAACCGGGGAGGGUCAUUGGAAACUGGGAAACUUGAGUGCAGAAGAGGAGAGUGGAAUUCCACGUGUAGCGGUGAAAUGCGUAGAGAUGUGGAGGAACACCAGUGGCGAAGGCGACUCCCUGGUCUGUAACUGACGCUGAGGAGCGAAAGCGUGGGGAGCGAACAGGAUUAGAUACCCCCGUAGUCCCUGUCUCUUAUAC